rnacentral:rRNA from 1 species
UACGUAGGGGGCUAGCGUUGUCCGGAAUCAUUGGGCGUAAAGCGCGUGUAGGCGGCCCGGUAAGUCCGCUGUGAAAGUCGGGGGCUCAACCCUCGGAUGCCGGUAGAUACUGUCGGGCUUGAGUACGGAAGAGGCGAGUGGAAUUCCUGGUGUAGCGGUGAAAUGCGUAGAUAUCUGGAGGAACACCGGUGGCGAAGGCGGCAUCCUGGACCGAAAUUGACGCUGAGGCGCGAAAGCCAGGGGAGCAAACGGG